CUAGUAGGCGGCCGAUUAAGUCCGACGUGAAAUCCCCAGGCUUAACCUGGGAACUGCGUCGGAUACUGAUUGGCUUGAAUCCGGGAGAGGGAUGCGGAAUUCCAGGUGUAGCGGUGAAAUGCGUAGAUAUCUGAGGAACACCGGUGGCGAAGGCGGCAUCCUGGACCGGCAUUGACGCUGAUCAGCGAAAGCCAGGGGAGCAAACG
rnacentral:rRNA from 1 species